UCUGGAAGCACUACAAGAGCCUAGAUUAAUCAGAGAAAGACAGACUGAAUCAUAUUUAGUAAUAUUUUAUGUUAGGCUUAUUUUAUUGUAUUCUAAGGCUUUGAAAGUUGAGACUUCAUCUGUAUCAGUCAGGGUCCUAGCAGGAAACAGAUGGCAUGCUCAAAUUAGUAAAAUUAGUGGAAAUUUUAACAAAAGGACUGUCUACAAAGGUAUGGGCAGAGUGUAGGAAAACCAACAGGGAUACAGAGCACAGUAACUUGGGGCUGUUUUACCACCGAUACACCCAAAAUGAUGAAGGGAAGGGACAGAUAGCAGGAAAAAGAAGAAUGCGGCACAGAAGGGGUCCUCUUGAGAGAAACUGUGAGCUUUGGUUAAGAGAGCAUUCAGCCUACAGCAAUCUUCCAAGGCAGAAGCCAGGAAUAAAACCCUAACCUUGGUUUCUUCCCUCCCUUUGAUGUCAGGCCAGGUAUCUCUACCACCUAAACCCUACCAGAAGCCAAGAAGGGAUGGAAACGCACUGAUAUAAUCCAUGUAGAUUAGUCUCUCCCGGGGCAGACAGUAGGUGGAGAGUGGAUCUGGAGGGGUAAUCAGAAGAUAUCUGGUAUACCAUCUCUGACACAUAUAUUCAACCAAAAUACUAUCCAAACCAGAACCUUGACCAAGCCAGGAAAACAGACUACUGUUUGGACAAAGCUAAACUCCAUUAGUUUAUCACUGAAUGAGGGUCAAUGACUUCCAGGGUAUUUCCCUUUUGGAUGUCCUAUAAUAAUCCAAAACUCAACACGUCUAAAACUGAAUUCAUGGGACACCUGGGUGACUCAGCAGUGGAGUGUCUGCCUUCGGCCCAGGGCGUGAUCCUGGAGUCCCGGAGUCAAGUCCCACAUCGGGCUCCCUGCAUGGAGCCUGCUUCUCCCUCUGCCUGUGUCUCUGCCUCUCUGUGUCUCUCAUGAAUAAAUAAAAUCUUUAAAAAUAAAUAAAUAAAUAAAACUGACUUCAUCUUCCUGUACCACCACAACAUAACUUUCCCAUUUUUGUGAAUGGCAGCCUUUGAUAUACCAGUCUCUCAGCCUGAAACAUUUUUCCAUUUCCUCUCUGCACAUAUAAAUCGUGCCUAUUCUUUAGGGUCUACUUCAAAUAUUCCCUCCUCAGAUGAGCAAUGGGUGUUUCACUAUAUGUUGGCAAACUGAAUUUAAAUAAAAUAUUUCUUUAAAAAGUUACUCCCAUGGUAUUUUGAUAGGGAUUGCAUUAAACGUGUAUAUUGCCCUGGGUAACAUUGACAUUUUCACAAUAUUAAUUCUGCCAAUCCAUGAGCAUGGAAUAUUUUUCCAUCUCUUUGUGUCUUCCUCAAUUUCUUUCAGAAGUGUUCUCUAGUUUUGAGGGUAUAGAUCCUUUACAUCUUUGGUUAGGUUUAUUCCUAGGUAUCUUAUGCUUUUGGGUGCAAUUGUCAAUGGGAUUGACUCCUUAAUUUCUCUUUCUUCAGUCUCAUUGUUAGUGUAUAGAAAUGCCACUGACUUCUGGGCAUUGAUUUUGUAUCCUGCCACGCUACCGAAUUGCUGUAUGAGUUCUAGCAAUCUUGGGGUGGAGACUUUUGGGUUUUCUAUGUAGAGUAUCAUGUCAUCGGCGAAGAGGGAGAGUUUGACUUCUUCUUUGCCAAUUUGAAUGCCUUUAAUGUCUUUUUGUUGUCUGAUUGCUGAGGCUAGGACUUCCAGUACUAUGUUGAAUAGCAGUGGUGAGAGUGGACAUCCCUGUCUUGUUCCUGAUCUUAGGGGAAAGGCUCCCAGUGCUUCCCCAUUGAGAAUGAUAUUUGCUGUGGGCUUUUCAUAGAUGGCUUUUAAGAUGUCGAGGAAUGUUCCCUCUAUCCCUACACUCUGAAGAGUUUUGAUCAGGAAUGGAUGCUGUAUUUUGUCAAAUGCUUUCUCUGCAUCCAAUGAGAGGAUCAUAUGGUUCUUGGUUUUUCUCUUGCUGAUAUGAUGAAUCACAUUGAUUGUUUUACGGGUGUUGAACCAGCCUUGUGUCCCAGGGAUAAAUCCUACUUGGUCAUGGUGAAUAAUUUUUUUAAUGUACUGUUGGAUCCUAUUGGCAACUAAUAUUCGAUAAAGGAGGAAAGACUAUCCAUUGGAAGAAAGACAGUCUCUUCAAUAAAUGGUGCUGGGAAAAUUGGACAUCCACAUGCAGAAGAAUGAAACUAGACCACUCUCUUUCACCAUACACAAAGAUAAACUCAAAAUGGAUGAAAGAUCUAAAUGUGAGACAAAAAAAAAAAACAAAAAAAAAAAAAAAAAAAAAAAAA
rnacentral:lncRNA from 1 species